rnacentral:rRNA from 1 species
UCCCCUAGUAACUGCGAGUGAACCGGGAUGAGCUCAAAUUUAAAAUCUGGCGGUUCUGCCGUCCGAGUUGUAAUCUGGAGAAGCGUUUUCCGCGUCAGACCGUGUACAAGUCUCUUGGAAUAGAGCGUCAUAGAGGGUGAGAAUCCCGUCCAUGACACGGACUCCUGAUGCUAUGUGAUACGUUUUCUAAGAGUCGAGUUGUUUGGGAAUGCAGCUCAAAAUGGGUGGUAAAUUCCAUCUAAAGCUAAAUAUUGGCGAGAGACCGAUAGCGAACAAGUACCGUGAGGGAAAGAUGAAAAGCACUUUGGAAAGAGAGUUAAACAGUACGUGAAAUUGUUGAAAGGGAAACGCUUGAAGUCAGUCGCGUCGUACGGAGCUCAGCCUUGCUUCUGCAUGGUGUAUUCUCUGUGUCGACGGGUCAACGUCAAUUUUGACCGGUGGAAAAGGGCUUAAGGAAUGUAGCGUCGUUUCGGCGACGUGUUAUAGCCUUGGGUCAUAUACAUCGGUUGGGAUUGAGGACCGCAGCACGCCCUUGUGGCCGGGGGUUCGCCCUACGUUUCGUGCUUAGGAUGUUGGCAAAAUGGCUUUAAGCGACCCGUCUUGAAACACGGACCAAGGAGUCUAACAUGCCUGCGAGUGUUCGGGUGGAAAACCCUUGCGCGUAAUGAAAGUGAAAGUUGGGAUCCCUCGCAAGGGGGUGCACCGACGCCCGGCCCUGAAGUUCUCUGACGGUGCUGCGGUAGAGCAUGUAUGUUGGGACCCGAAAGAUGGUGAACUAUGCCUGAAUAGGGUGAAGCCAGAGGAAACUCUGGUGGAGGCUCGUAGCGAUUCUGACGUGCAAAUCGAUCGUCAAAUUUGGG